rnacentral:rRNA from 1 species
UCGGGAGUGAUUAUAGUGGCGCACGGGUGAGUAACGCGUAGAUAACCUGCCCUUAGGUUCGGAAUACCCCUUCGAAAGGAGAGCUAAUACCGGAUAACAGUUACUUCCAUGUGGAGGUAAUUUGAAAGGCUUGCCGCCUGGGGAUGGGUCUGCGUACCAUUAGCUAGUUGGUGGGGUAAGAGCCCACCAAGGCGACGAUGGUUAGCGGGUCUGAGAGGAUGAUCCGCCACACUGGAACUGAGACACGGUCCAGACUCC